UUUCACUGCAGUAGCAGCAGACGUCAGUUAUAGUGGUCACGUGGUUCGCACUCGAGAUGCCUCCAUUCACGGGCUAUAAAAGAGAGCGACUCCCUAGCUCCCAUCACGCUUCGCAAGGAGACCAUUGGCUUCUGAGAAGAAUGGCUUCAUGCAAGGUUCUACAUUUGGCCGUCUUUGCUCUUGUACUGCAGGCCAUCAUUCUGUGCUUCGGACAACCGGGAAACCUUCCACAAUCCCGGGAUGAUUCUGAUCUUCAAGAAUGUCAAUCGCAGUGUGGCUCAUACAACAAUUACACGUGCAGUGAACAAAACUGCACAUGUAUUUAUGUUGAGAACGACGCGAAUGGCACCUGCUACGACUUAAGUGAUUACGAUUAUUCGGAAAGUGCCAGUGAUACUGCCGCAUAGACGUCAACCAAAGCGGAAGACCUGUCAUGUGCUGUACCACAAUUAUACAGUUCAA
rnacentral:lncRNA from 1 species